rnacentral:rRNA from 1 species
GACGAACGCUGGCGGCGUGCUUAACACAUGCAAGUCGAACGGAAAGGCCCUGCUUUUGUGGGGUGCUCGAGUGGCGAACGGGUGAGUAACACGUGAGUAACCUGCCCUUGACUUUGGGAUAACUUCAGGAAACUGGGGCUAAUACCGGAUAGGAGCUCCUGCUGCAUGGUGGGGGUUGGAAAGUUUCGGCGGUUGGGGAUGGACUCGCGGCUUAUCAGCUUGUUGGUGGGGUAGUGGCUUACCAAGGCUUUGACGGGUAGCCGGCCUGAGAGGGUGACCGGCCACAUUGGGACUGAGAUACGGCCCAGACUCCUACGGGAGGCAGCAGUGAGGAAUAUUGCACAAUGGGCGGAAGCCUGAUGCAGCAACACCGCGUGCGGGAUGACGGCCUUCGGGUUGUAAACCGCUUUCGCCUGUGACGAAGCGUGAGUGAAGGUAAUGGGUAAAGAAGCACCGGCUAACUACGUG